CUUUUAAAAUAGCUCCUAUCUUUGUGUUCUAAACCUUGGUUUAUGUCACACCCAAGUUAGAGAGCUGGCUUAUCUGAGACUGCCCCCCUAACUCGCCCAGAAAUCAGUCACCAAACCUGCCAGUGCUCACUUUGGAACAGGGAGUGAAUCCGGACGCUCCUCUGUUCUCAUCACAAUUCUCUGACCUUUGACUUGGACUAUUUCAAACACCUCCUAACUGCCCAGACUUACCCAUGGCUGCAUCCCACACUGACUCAAGAGGCACAUGAACUAGUAAGAAACAAGAGCCGGAGAUCAUAAGAGCUCUCCCCAUGCAACGCAGAAGAGCAGCAGGGCUUAGUCACGACAACAGAAAGAUGCCUGCUGCCCACGUGAACCACUGUCAGCGUGAUGCGGUUCAGACACACGAGGAGCUCUCCACACUGGAUUUCAUCCGUUCCCAGGUCUAGGGGUUGGAUGCGUGAUCGGGAAAUACCGCAAAGCUAUGCAGCCUGCAAGGGGACUGAAUCGGAGGUCUGGGUUAUCAUCUGUAAGGUGUCCCACAGAAGUGAGCCAACCAUAGCCACGAGGAACAUGCAGUACAGGGAGUUCUCCUGGUUCCCACGGUCAACAGAGACCAAAUGUCUGUCUCAUUUGGACCCACGGGAUUUUAAUUUACAAAAACAUCUCUGCAGAUCGGCAGAAGUCAGGAGAAAUGAGAGAGUCAUUUUCAGGACUCAUUUCUGUGUAUGGGAUCAGUCUGCCAUCCAUCACCAGUGCAGUCAGCAGACUUCUGACAAAAUCAGUGAACCAUCAACUGGACUAAAAACGCUUUAUGGUUAA
rnacentral:lncRNA from 12 species